GUGGGGAAUAUUGGACAAUGGGGGGAACCCUGAUCCAGCCAUGCCGCGUGUGUGAAGAAGGCCUUUUGGUUGUAAAGCACUUUAAGCGAGGAGGAGGCUACCGAGAUUAAUACUCUUGGAUAGUGGACGUUACUCGCAGAAUAAGCACCGGCUAACUCUGUGCCAGCAGCCGCGGUAAUACAGAGGGUGCAAGCGUUAAUCGGAUUUACUGGGCGUAAAGCGCGCGUAGGUGGCCAAUUAAGUCAAAUGUGAAAUCCCCGAGCUUAACUUGGGAAUUGCAUUCGAUACUGGGUGGCUAUAGUAUGGGAGAGGAUGGUAGAAUUCCAGGUGUAGCGGUGAAAUGCGUAGAGAUCUGGAGGAAUACCGAUGGCGAAGGCAGCCAUCUGGCCUAAUACUGACACUGAGGCGCGAAAGCGUGGGGAGCAAACAGGAUUAGAAACCCGGGUAGUCC
rnacentral:rRNA from 1 species